ensembl:Y_RNA Y_RNA Y RNA
GGCUGGUCCGAGUGCAGUGGUGCUUACAAUUAAUUGAUCACAGCCAGUUACAGAUUUCUUUGUUCCUUCUCCACUCCCACUGCUUCACUUGACUAGCCUUUU